rnacentral:rRNA from 1 species
UACGAAGGACCCGAGCGUUAUCCGGAUUCAUUGGGUUUAAAGGGUGCGUAGGCGGAAUGAUAAGUCAGUGGUGAAAUCCUGCAGCUUAACUGCAGAACUGCCAUUGAUACUGUUGUUCUUGAAUGCAACUGAUGUGGGCGGAAUGUGCCAUGUAGUGGUGAAAUACUUAGAUAUGGCACAGGACACCGAUUGCGAAGGCAGCUCACAAAAAUUGUUAUUGACGCUGAUGCACGAAAGCGUGGGGAUCAAACAGG